rnacentral:lncRNA from 1 species
CUUACUCUGCCAUUUUCCAGCUGUGUGGCUUUGGGCAAGUUAUUUAACCUCUCUGUGCCUCAACUUCUUCAUGUAAACUGGCAGUAAUAAUAAUACGAAUGCCACAGAGCUGUGGAUGAAAUGAGCCCAUGAAUGUCUGAAGACACAUCAUAACCUUUGUGACAAUGCUAAUCAUGUGGGAAUGGUGCUGUUUCCCCACCACAAGCUGGCCAAUUCCGGUCUGGCUUCUUUAACCAGGAAGAUGUGGGCUGAGAGCUGUGGAGUAGAUGUCUUCACCAGAUGAGUACACAGAGAAGUAGAGAAUGUGUAUCUGCAGAGUAGGAUGAAGCAGAGACAAGUCUUGUGAAUAAGGUAUUCAGGAAGCACAGCUGUCUUUUGUUCCUGAAGCCGUAUCAGGAUUCAGCAGGAAAGAGCACCAAGAUCACUUGGCAAUGUUUAUCCUGAUCAAGCACGGGCACUGAUGGCAGAUGCAGGACAAAGGACAGAACUCUAAGUCAUCCCUGUGCUCACCUGAGACAAAUGCAUGUCUGAUUGCUUCCACUGAUGUAAAAAUGCAGAUUUGCUGAGUUAGACGAAGACGAUGGCAGAGAGCAGUCUUCAUCCUGAGCCCCAUUCCUAGGUAAGUAGCUGAAUUGGGGUUUUGUUUUGGAAAUUCUCCUUAAUGGCUAAAGUUAAGAUUAACAACCAGCUGGUCUUAAUUUCUUCUUACCAUUAGAGCACUCAGUAAUCUAAUAUAAAUUAUAAAUCUAAUAUAUUAGAUUUAUUUUGGGUUUGACCAACUCUAUCUGACUUGAUCAAAUCCAAAGGAAAGUUCCAAAUUAUGGGGAAUAAGGCCUCUGAAUUGGCUACAUUCCUGCAGCUGAAAAUAAGGAAAGAAAAAAGGGAAAAAGUAAAAGCAGCCAGGCCGGGCAUGGUGGCUCAAACCUGUAA